AGGGAAUAUUGCGCAAUGGACGGAAGUCUGACGCAGCGACGCCGCGUGAGCGAUGAAGGCCUUCGGGUCGUAAAGCUCUGUCCUUGGGGAAGAAGGUCUUCGGACUUGACGGUACCCAAGAAGAAAGCCCCGGCUAACUACGUGCCAGCAGCCGCGGUAAUACGUAGGGGGCGAGCGUUGUCCGGAAUUACUGGGCGUAAAGGGUGCGUAGGCGGCCCUUUAAGUCAGAUGUGAAAGGCCACGGCUUAACCGUGGGAUUGCAUUUGAAACUGGAGGGCUUGAGUGUCGGAGAGGGUAGUGGAAUUCCCAGUGUAGCGGUGAAAUGCGUAGAUAUUGGGAGGAACACCAGUGGCGAAGGCGACUACCUGGACGAUAACUGACGCUGAGGCACGAAAGCUAGGGGAGCAAAC
rnacentral:rRNA from 1 species